AGUCGAACGAGAACGGGUCUAGCUUGCUAGAUUGUCAGCUAAGUGGCGAACGGGUGAGUAAUGUAUAGCUAACAUGCCUUUUAGAGGGGGAUAACAGAUGGAAACGUCUGCUAAUACCCCAUAUUCCCUUUGUAUUAAUUAUGAGGGGGAAAUGCUUUUGUGCUAAGAGAUUGGGCUAUAUUGCAUCAGCUAGUUGGUAGGGUAACGGCUUACCAAGGCGAUGACGCAUAACUGGUUUGAGAGGAUGAUCAGUCACACUGGAACUGAGACACGGUCCAGACUCCUACGGGAGGCAGCAGUGAGGAAUAUUGCACAAUGGGGGAAACCCUGAUGCAGCAACGCCGCGUGGAGGAUGACACUUUUCGGAGCGUAAACUCCUUUUAUAAGGGAAGAUAAUGACGGUACCUUAUGAAUAAGCACCGGCUAACUCCGUGCCAGCAGCCGCGGUAAUACGGAGGGUGCAAGCGUUACUCGGAAUUACUGGGCGUAAAGAGCGUGUAGGCGGGCUGAAAAGUCAGAAGUGAAAUCCUGUGGCUUAACCAUAGAACUGCUUCUGAAACUCUCAGUCUAGAAUAUGGGAGAGGUAGACGGAAUUGGUGGUGUAGGGGUAAAAUCCGUAGAGAUCACCAGGAAUACCGAAAGCGAAGGCGGUCUACUGGAACAUUAUUGACGCUGAGACGCGAAAGUGUGGGUAGCAAACAGGAUUAGAUACCCUGGUAGUCCACACCCUAAACGAUGAAUGUUAGUCGUCGGGAUGCUUGUCAUCUCGGUGAUGCAGCU
rnacentral:rRNA from 1 species